GUGUGUGUUCUACGUCGACCAGAAGCUCCCAAAGGAGCCAAACCCUAGCUCAAGCUUAUUUGCUCAAAUUGAAAGGGGAAUUCAACCCAAAUCUAAUGCAUGUACCCGAAUUCUUAGUCAUCUAGCCCUAAAGAUCACUUGAAUAGGAACCACACUAGCAUGGACCAAGCAUGGAAGGCUAACGGGUCAAGAUGAGGCAAGCAAGCGGGUAUGAACACAGAUGCACAAGAUAUGUAGGUGCGUAUGAUCAGACGUAUGGAUAUAUGAAUGCACGAAGUAGGAUUUAUCGUCUAUGAAAAGAAUGGGACAGGAAUGAGAACGUCAGACUCUUGUAGAAUUGAAGCCAAACCUUGAAGCCGAACUCGGAACAAAGGAAUCCGAGAGGAUAGUCGAAUGAAUCAAAGUUUAUGUUGUCGAAUGUUAUAUGAUUUAUAAUUUGUAUCAGAUUAUUGUUGUAUGACGUUGUCAAUGACUAAUGGUUAAGUUGUAUGUGGCGUCCACAGGUACUACACGGAUUUCUUCUACUGCUAAGGAAGUGAAGCGGACGUAGAUCGAGUCAAGAGCAAGGAUUGUACGGAUAGAUCGGUCACAUAGUUGAAGUAUAUAAUGUCUAGAAAUCUAAAUUUUAGUAUGAAUGUUGUGAAUUCUUUUAUAGAACGUUUAACAUUUUUAGAAUUUGGAACCUUCGUGAAAGUAAUGUCGUUAAUAAGGAAAGAAAUUUUAA
rnacentral:lncRNA from 1 species